UGCACGUUAGUGGCCUUUGUUAUUACAACACCGCCUUGGGAUACAUAAAUCUCCUCCCCUUCCUAAUUUGUUUCUUCCUAAACCUUUCUUCCUCCAUCCUCAGCGAGCAUCUUCAUCAAAUCGGCACGCUAGUCACCAACAUCGCGCCGCCAGUCACCACCGUCACACUGCCAGUCGCUCCUCAAGGCUCAAAAUCCAGGCAGGUAGUUUUCUUGUGUCUAGUAAUAACCAUGCAGUUGCUGAGGAAGGGAAAUUAAGUGAGAAUGUACACUCUAAUCAUAGUUAUGAUGAGGCAUCAUCAUUAAUUGAACAGGAAAUGGGACUGCAGACCAACCUGGGUUGAGAUUAAAUCCAAGGCUCUUAGAUUUGAGAGGAUGUUAUUUCGUGCUACGAGAGGCAAUGUGCUUUUCAAUCAGGCACCGGCUGGUGAAGAAAUCAUGGAUCCUUUAUCAGCUGAAAAGGUCUUGUCACGUCUUUCUGAAUUAGAGGUCACAUUGGAUGCCGGAUUCGCCAUCAAAAUAAAGCUCCGACUUCAAUUGGAUACCAUCUAACACAAUGGAUGAGCAUGGUUAGAUGUACUAGUACGAAGGGAGAAAGUUGUGGAUGAUACACUGAAUAUGUUGAAUUUCAAUGUUACAAAGAAAUGUCUUGUUGGGGAAGGAUGGUGCCCUAUAUUUGUACAAGCUAAGGUGUCUUUUAUGCAUCAUCAUUCUAAAUCCAAUUUCUUUGUAACUAACAGCGAGUCAAGUUGAUGAAAAAAUUGCUCAAAUGAAAGCCGAAGUUGAAGCGAGAGAAACAAUGAGAGCGGCGAGAGAAGCAACAUUUCAGAAAAAUAUGAAGAACUUCAAAAUCAAAUUGAAGCUAUGAAGCAGAUGAUAGCAGCAAAA